UGGGUUUGGGAAAAGAACAGGUUGGGUUUGGAUUAAGAACAGGUUGGGUUUAGGAAAAGAAGAAUAGGUUGGGUUUAGGAUAAGAGGAACAGAAUGGUUGGGUUUAGGAUUAAAACAGGUUGGGUUUAGAUUAAGAACAGGAUGGUUGGGUUUAGGAAAAGAACCAGUUGGGUUUAGGAAAA